ACAGGAGAUAGCACAGGCUCGGGAAAGCUCUCCUACCACACCCCCUUUUGUGCUUACACAAAACGGUCAAUUAUGGCCUUCUGAAACAGAGGCCAGGUCUGUUCUCAAAUACCAUGCUUUGGAGGAGGUAUGAUUACUUAAGCGAGUUCAGGUGGCCUAGAGAAAGGCAAAACAGUACCUUUACAGACUGCAAAACAACGCUGAAAGCAUGAACAAUCGUCUCUGAAGGAAGGUCCAGACUACAUAAAGGAUUAUUUACCCAAAAUUCAUCAGCACACCUGCUAUGUAGGAGAACAGCAUCCGGCGUUAGAAAAAACUGGAGAUCUCAGAUAUUUAUGGAGGCCUGCCUCAAAUAGAAGCUUGCCAGCAAAAUAUAAACAUGAGUACGUUGGUGAAAUUGGUUGGGGAGUACCACAGUAUAAUUUUAUCAACAAAUCAAGACUGGAGAGUGGCUUCCAUAUCAAGGCAACCAAAACCUCAUGUCCUGGAUAUGCAAGGAAAACAGAGUCGCGCUUCUUUGGCCUGGCAUGUGGGUGAUUUCGAGGACACUGAUCGGAGAAAUUCCAAAUGGACUAUUCUCGUUAGGCAGAGUAAGUCAUCAUUGCCAAGAGCUUCCAAACCAUUUAUGCUUCCGAAGCUGCCAAAAAAGGAAAAGAAAAGGAAACAUUAGCCUCUAAAUCAGCGUAACUCAACCUGCUUUUAGAAGGAGAAACUGCCUACUACUGUAGAACAAAGAAUAAGAUCAUAAUAAUCCAUAAGUGCUUCUCAUAUUGCCCCAGGACAGAUGUCUUGCAAGAGUACGCUUCAGCUUAAAGCCCAAAUAAAGAGUUUGGAAAAAAG